rnacentral:lncRNA from 1 species
CUAAUGUUUUUGCGGAUAUACUACCCCUAUAAAAGCACGAGAGGGCGGAGAACCAAAUCAUCACAACCAUCGAACCGUAUUAAUCUGAUGGUCCAAAUCGUCUCAUAACAUCAAAUGUGUUUGACACCCUAAUUACCCAUCACUACUAUUGGUUAUAACCACGUUAAAAAAAGCCCUCGUCUAGGGAGAUCAAACGAUCCCCUCCCCACCGUCACGCCUGCCCACGAUCUCCCGUUCCUCUCCUCAAACAACGAGGUAGUUUCGUCCCCCACCCCCACCGGCCCCUUCCCACACCGCCACCCCUCUCUUCCGCUUGCACGCUCUUGCCCCGCCCGCACCUCCCACAAGGUUUCAUGGCCGCCGCCUGGCCCGCCUAUGGAAACUGGUACCAUCACGCGGCCAAAUCUUUGACGCCACCAUAUGCACAGUCAAGGGGGAGGAAGCAGGUCAACACGACUAAAUUCAUUGCCGCGGGAGCUGCCAAGGGCGUCGGAUCAUCGUCUUCGGCGCCAGGGGCCAGUGACGGUCACGCACGACGACGUCUCUGCGAUGGCGGAUGACGGUCAAGCCAGCGGGAUGGGAUCGGAGACGACGAGCAGCAGAAACGGUCUUGCUCUGGUAAGAUCAACAAUCCAUGCUUCCAGUUCUUGGUUACGUUUCUUAAUUCAUCUGAUUUGUCAGCGCCAUGUUGUUGAUCGCUAACGGCGCUCGCCUCGCAGCCCCGCCCCAUCGCGACGCAGGUAUUAAUAUCCUGAAGCGUAUCUUCGCCGCGUGCGCAUCAAAUUCAGUCGGGCGUCGGCGCGCACCGGCCGUAGGCGAUCAACACCAAACUCCACCUGCUCGAGGGAGGACGCAGCCCCGCCCCAAGCACUUCAUUCGGAGGAAACGGCAGCCAUGGUCGACGCCAGAGCAACAUCCUCCUCCAGAGGUUCCUCUCGUUCAUCUACGGACCAUGGCUCCCCGGCUUCGGAUUGGGUAAGGGAUGUAAGGGCGGAGGACGCUUGUCAACCCAAGCGCAUGCACGGUGUCGAGAUCUUCAGGACCAGGGACGCGAGCCGCGCCCGCGCUCAGCCGCCUUGGAGCCUCGUGCGGCGCAUCAUCGUUAUCAGCUGAGGCGCCUGGACAUCCCAACGGCAGCGGGAGGAUCUACGACCUCCUCGUCCUUCUUGGCGCUUCUCUGGUGCUCAACGUAUUGUCAUGCAUGAUGUUUUACAUCAUUGGCAGAAAAGCGAGUCUGGUCCGUCCGGAGAGAAGCAGGACAGGGUGAGCAUUUUUCAGGUCUGUACGUUUACAUGGGUUCUGAUCUGAUGGUUCCAGCCCUGUUACAACAUAUCAUUCUUAUGUUCUGUUGUGCCACGGUGAUUUGUGUGUAACUGAAAUUCAGAAUGAACUCAAGUUGGCAAUGUGCCAGUGCCUGCGAUAUUCUCAGGUUGCACGUUCUCGAAUGCUGAAUGUUUAGUCUUUUCAGACUCCAGAUUGCCUCCAGUUGAACGAAGUCGAGCUGUCGCCCGUCACCUCGCUCUCGUUCUUCUCCCCUUUCGACUGGCGGUAAUUUACCGAUGCUUCCUGGCUUCAAUUAUCAGUUUAAAUAUGCAAAUAUUCACCUCCUUUCGCAAUUCUAGUCAGUUUAAAUAUGACUGCUGAAGAUCCAUUUAUACUUCUACAUGGUUUUAUAAUAUGGAUAAAAUCACUAUCACAGUAAUUCUGUAGCUUGUGUUUGGCACUUGGAAACAACAUAAUAGAAAUUUGGUUGCUCAGGUAAGGUAAGGAAAAAAAAUAUUGCCCCAUUGUUUUUCUGUUUGUCUGCUUGUGAGCAUAAUCUAUUUUAAGCCCAU